ACCUCAUUUAUCAAGAAGAUAAAUAAAUACAUAUACAAAAACGCCUCAUCCUUAUUCUCAUUGGUCGAAUUUGUUUAUAACAAUUACGUAAAAAAAUAAUAAAAUAACAUUGGGUUGAAUUUGACCCCACAUGACUUUUCAAAUUAAUAUAGAAGAAGACAUAUUUGGCAAGAAACACAACAAAACUAUAUGUUUCUAACAUGAUAAGAUCAAAUUGUUAGAUUUUGCUUCGUUUACUUACAUAAAAUUUGAAAAAUAUAACAAUUAAAAACAACAUACAAGGGAAAAGCUUUGAUUUUUAUUUGGGCGUCCAAACAGCUGGCUCCACCUUUGCCGCCACUUGUAGAUUGUACAGUCCACAAGGAAACGGCGCCCCUUGACGUGUCUCUUAGGAGAAUACCUCCGCCUCCUAUCGCCAAGCAAGUUCUACAACACGCUAGCAACUAGUCUAGCACCGAAUUGAUUUUUUUUUGUUUUUUUGUUUUUUUUUUUUUUUGAUAAUAAUAGUACCGAAUAACGAAUUGACAUUCAAUUUUUCUGAGUCCUUUGGAGGAUUUUGAUCCUGCGAUAAAGAUGGUAAAGGAACAGGAAGCUUUGGGAAGAGGAGGAACAAGACUCAUACGCUAUAUAUGUGAGAUGCGUGGGUCGCAGCUUCCACCUUCAGAAGAGUCGGUGUACCUCCUGUGGCUUCCCUACCAGCCCCCAUCAGAAAAUGUGAAAUAGAUCUUCUACCCUUUCUUCCUUUAUUUGCUUUUAUCUCCUGCUUUAUAUUUUAAUUAUAUUUUUUGGUGAAAUUGUAACAUAAUUGGAGCACCAAAGCAAGUAGGAGGAAGACUACUGGUACAGGUAGAAUGAGGUACCUUCGCCAUAUCGCUGUCAGAUUCAAAUUCAAUUUCAGAGAAGGUAUUUAUCAAAAUAUAUCCUUUUAUGCUCAUUUUAGGUAUCAAGAAGUACGAUCCAGUUUGAGCAUUUGUAUUUCUUCACACAUUUUCUCACUAACCAAACAGAGCAUGUUCUGUUCUACCGUUCAUGCAUAUCAUAAUGGUAUGUUCAGUACAGAGGCAACUGCAAGGAAGAACAGAGCCUCAGCAUCGUCUUAAGUAGACGAAGAAAAGUUGGUAAUUUGGCAAUCUGUUUACAUGGUACUUGGUAGUUUGUUUAAGAGCUCUAGUUGUUCUUCAGUGUUCUGACUCUCAUGGAUAGUUUUGUAUAUCAAGAGCUAGGUUUGUCUGUUGUUCAAUCGAAACCCUGGCUUGUAAUUCCCAUUACUAUAUUUCCACUAUUAGUCAUUGACAAAAUAAUUCUAUGUUUUUUAUUAGAGACGUUUAGAAUCUUCAAAAAAUGUCUGUACCCUCAACAAAUUGGCCUGGUGACCAGAUAAAUCACAAUCUAUAAUCAGAGAUGGUGUUUACAAUA